rnacentral:rRNA from 1 species
GAUGAACGCUGGCGGCGUGCCUAAUACAUGCAAGUCGAGCGAACGGACGAGAAGCUUGCUUCUCUGAUGUUAGCGGCGGACGGGUGAGUAACACGUGGAUAACCUACCUAUAAGACUGGGAUAACUUCGGGAAACCGGAGCUAAUACCGGAUAAUAUUUUGAACCGCAUGGUUCAAAGGUGAGAGACGGUCUUGCUGUCACUUAUAGAUGGAUCCGCGCUGCAUUAGCUAGUUGGUAAGGUAACGGCUUACCAAGGCAACGAUGCAUAGCCGACCUGAGAGGGUGAUCGGCCACACUGGAACUGAGACACGGUCCAGACUCCUACGGGAGGCAGCAGUAGGGAAUCUUCCGCAAUGGGCGAAAGCCUGACGGAGCAACGCCGCGUGAGUGAUGAAGGUCUUCGGAUCGUAAAACUCUGUUAUUAGGGAAGAACAUAUGUGUAAGUAACUGUGCACAUCUUGACGGUACCUAAUCAGAAAGCCACGGCUAACUACGUG